rnacentral:rRNA from 1 species
AGAGCGAACGCUGGCGGCAGGCUUAACACAUGCAAGUCGAGCGCCCCGCAAGGGGAGCGGCAGACGGGAGAGUAACACGUGGGAACGUACCCUUUGGUUCGGAACAACCCAGGGAAACUUGGGCUAAUACCGGAUAAGUCCGUAAGGAGAAAGAUUUAUCGCCAAUGGAUCGGCCCGCGUCUGAUUAGCUAGUUGGUGAGGUAAUGGCUCACCAAGGCGACGAUCAGUAGCUGGUCUGAGAGGAUGAUCAGCCUCACUGGGACUGAGACACGGCCCAGACUCCUACGGGAGGCAGCAGUGGGGAAUAUUGGACAAUGGGCGCAAGCCUGAUCCAGCCAUGCCGCGUGGGUGAUGAAGGCCCUAGGGUUGUAAAGCCCUUUCGGCGGGAAGAUAAUGACGGUACCCGCAGAAGAAGCCCGGCUAACUUCGUGCCAGCAGCCGC